rnacentral:misc_RNA from 1 species
AAUCCUCCUUGCGCGGGGCACCUGGAACUCGGCGAAGCAAGCGAGGCACACACACACACACACACACACAAGGAAAAGUGAAACCGAAAAGUGUGCGCUGCACCUCUCUCAACUGCUCCUUCUAUACCUCUCGGCGCUGAAAGAUAACUGACCUCUUACUUACUGACACCAACACAAACAUGAAAUCACCGGAGUCUUUCGAUGGUCUGAGCUCUCACUGCCAGCGGGCGCGCUUCCGGGUUCAGGCUUGCUUCGAUACGGCAGCCCAUGAGCUCAUUCUCUCCGCCGAGGCAUCCGAGAACUCUGCUCUAUUAAUCGCAGAUGACUGCUCGGUAGAACUACGCGUUGCACCGGUAAGUAGCGGUGCUGCCGGCGCCGCUGGCGUCUCACCAACGACGCACGCACUCACAGCAUUGCCGUGGGAUUGCAGCCGAAUGCGACUUGGCGUCAACGGUAUCAGUUACGGCACCGGCCCGCUGGUGUUGCGGGAUGGAGACGAACUCACGCUGCACCCCAACCACGUCACAGAGGCCACAACGUCGUAUACAUACAACGUCAAAGCAGUUCCCGCAUCGGCAGAUGUGGCUGGGAAUGAGAUGGGGAAUGGGCCCCCACUUGAGACCCGCCCCAGUGCAUCUGAAGAGAAUCAUCGGCUGCGAGUGAUCAUGUCGAACGUGGAGCAGUACGCAAAGUGGAACAAUUUUUACAGCGAACGGUUCACCAACCUCGCCACGGUCAGCGUGCCGCCGAGCAACGGCACUUGUACGACCGGCCAGCUCCACAAAUGUGCGUGUGGGUCCUAUGUACAGGCAGAGGUGGGCACAUCCGAUGCCAUGCCACGUGGGACACACCCACCCAACGCCGCGCAGACGCCGCUCGUGUGGGAUGCAGACGCUGACGUGAGUAAGGCGCUUCCGUCAGCACAUGCCCGCACCCUCGUUACGCUGCUCCCCAGCCUCCCCCAGCUGCUAGAUUUCGGCUCCCCUGCAACGCAGCCACCGACAGCGCCCCGUGCACCCUUGCCGGCAACGUGCUGCUGCUGUCCGUUCACGUCUGCAUCCUCAAAUCCGGCGCUGCGGCUCUGCAGAAAGAAGUCGGCUUAUACAUCAGCGGCCGCGCCUCCCUCUUCUAUCGGUGAGAGCAGCGACGCGCAGCAAGUCUGCGAGACCGGCCCGUCUUUGCGUGUCGAUGCGAGACAGACUUCUUGGAGCGUCUACGCCCAAGCUCGUCGCGACGACUGUGUAGCCGCUCCACAGGUCAGCAAUGCCAAGAAAGCGGUUGAUGCGCCCAACAGUGACGCCUUCUUGGGUGGCGCCUCACUUGGCAGGCCAGCUGUAGCGCUCUUGAACCGCAUCAGCUCCUUAGAGAGUGCACUGAUGGGCUUACGCUACGAAUGAGCGAACCCUCGUCGGGAGCUUCCUUUCUUUUUCUCUAACUCCGCCAGUGGUGCCCAGAGAUGCGCGGAUGGCGGAAUUGAGGCCACAUGAGUGCCAGCGCCCACCCCGCACCUGUGCGCACACACGUGGGCGAGGUUUCCUGCGUUGUAUGUGUUCGCGUCCGAAAAGGGCUGCGUUCCUCCUCCGUUCAUCUCUCCUUUUUGCAAAAAAAAAACGCCUCUGCCUUUUCAUCACUCACUCACUUACAG